rnacentral:lncRNA from 1 species
AUAUUACUCAGGUUAUUAUAGGCCAGAGGCCUUCAAACACUUUUUGAGAAGGCCCAUAAUGAGAAAAGUUUGAUGAAAUAAUUCUUAUGCUUAUGAUUGGCAUUGCAAUUUCAUAUUUCUGUUCUACUUCACUUUUUUAAAAAAGUGCUGGUGUUGACCCACUAAAUUGUUUCUAUGAGCCACUAAUGGCUCAUGACCUGCAGUUUGGAAAAAAUAUUGUAAAUCAUGUUGAGGAUUUUCAUCUUUUAAAGGUGGUGACUCGAUUCUUUUUGCUAUCAGGGAAGAGACUGGUAGAUUGAAGUGGCACAGAAUAAAUGGGUGGCUCACACCUGUAACCCCAGCACUUUGGGAGGCUGAGGCAGGCGGAUCACCUGAGGUCGGGAGUUUGAGACCAGCCUGGCCAACUUGGUGAAACCCGUCUCUACUAAAAACACAAAAAAAUUAGCUGGGUGUGGUGGCGGGCACCUGUAAUCCCAGCUGCUUGGGAGGCUGAGGCAGGAGAAUCGCUUGAACCCAGGAGGCGGAGGUUGCAGUGAGCCAAAAUUGUGCCACUGCAUUCCAGCCUGGGCAACAGAGCCAGACUUUGUCUCAAAAAAGAAAAGGAAAAGAAAAGAAAAACACCCCAUAAUUGCCACAAUCCAGAUAAGAGAUGGUAGCUUGGACCAGGAUGGUAGGAUGGUGGCAGCAGAGAUAGGGUCAAGGCAGCUACCCAGGGCCAGGGCCUGUGCUCAUCUUACGAUGUCAUCUGUUUCCCCAGUGUGCCACUACAGGGACUGAGACCAGAGCCUGUUGAUUCUGGCCUAAGCUGGCACAGCCAGUGAGUCCUAAGACAGAUUUGAAACAGGUCUCUCUGCUUCCCAAGCCUGGCCUUUUCUUUUAACUCACAGCGCAUCUGUAAGAUAAAAUAUUACUUUUGCAAAUUACAAAUGUUCUCACCCCAAG